rnacentral:rRNA from 1 species
UGGGGAAUAUUGGACAAUGGGCGAAAGCCUGAUCCAGCAAUGCCGCGUGAGUGAAGAAGGCCUUAGGGUUGUAAAGCUCUUUCGUCCACGACGAUAAUGACGGUAGUGGAAGAAGAAGCCCCGGCUAACUCCGUGCCAGCAGCCGCGGUAAUACGGAGGGGGCUAGCGUUGUUCGGAAUUACUGGGCGUAAAGCGCGCGUAGGCGGCCAUGCAAGUCAGAGGUGAAAGCCCGGAGCUUAACUUCGGAACUGCCUUUGAGACUGCAUGGCUUGAACCCGGGAGAGGUAAGUGGAAUUCCGAGUGUAGAGGUGAAAUUCGUAGAUAUUCGGAGGAACACCAGUGGCGAAGGCGGCUUACUGGACCGGUGUUGACGCUGAGGCGCGAAAGCGUGGGGAGCAAACAGG